UACGGGGGGGGCAAGCGUUGUUCGGAAUUACUGGGCGUAAAGGGCUCGUAGGUGGCCAACUAAGUCAGACGUGAAAUCCCUCGGCUUAACCGGGGAACUGCCUCUGAUACUGGAUGGCUUGAGUUUGGGAGAGGGACGCGGAAUUCCAGGUGUAGCGGUGAAAUGCGUAGAUAUCUGGAGGAACACCGGUGGCGAAGGCGGCGUCCUGGACCAACACUGACACUGAGGAGCGAAAGCCAGGGGAGCAAACAGG
rnacentral:rRNA from 1 species